GGGGUCGACUGGUUUUGACAGCAAAUUUAAUUUAAUUAUAAGCAUGUCGAGCAUUGAUUCACAGCUCGUUAAUCUUGGACUCAAAAUUUAAUUGGCGAAAAUAACUACGCUCUAGCUGCAUAAUUAACUGAAUUAUAGUAGGUUAAUGCCUAGUUCCAACAAGGUUGGAAAGCAAGAUGUCUCCUAAAUAGCCUUUGUUGACGGCGAUUUUUAAAUGAGGCACCAAAAAUGUCAACAUUAAAAUUUAAGUUUACCUAUUAAAUUUUAAUACUUAGGUAAUAAGAGAAUUAUGGGUAUUUUUCAAUCAGUAAUUCUUCGAAAAUUAAAUGAAAAAUAAGCAUGUAGAAAGUAAUUUUAUUGUUUGUUUGGACGAGGGUUCGAGUCCCUCCGACUCCACCA
rnacentral:tmRNA from 1 species